rnacentral:misc_RNA from 1 species
GCCAAUUUUCACAAGUUGUAUUGAAUCAAUGACAGUUUUAUUACAAAUAGCGUGUUACAUUUGAUACAGAAGAUACUGAGUUUAUUUGUUUUUUUAGUUUGGAAGAAAUGGCAAUUCUAAACUACACUGAAGGAUGGAUAACAUAUGCCAUAAUAGGACUUCUCACUUGAUGCACUCCAUUAUCCCAAGUCAAGGAACCAGAGAUUGCAGUUGUAUUUAAUGCAGCUUCAACUGUAACAACAAAGGAUUGCUUUUCGCCAAGAGACUGGAAGGAAAUAACAUUUGGUUGAACUUGUAUAUUAAGUCCUUCCGUAGCAUUUACAAUUGCCUUGUAAGUAGAUGAUGAGGACCCAACAUUUGUGACAGUUCUGUGAAAGAUGCGAGUUACAGAUUGCCCAGACAGGGUAGAUAGUGCGAAAGAAGGGUAGUUUAGAUCCCAAACUGUUCCAUUUGUUUCUUCAGAACAUGUGCUAUUGUCUCCAGUCACGAGUUGAAGUUGUGUUGCGUUGUACCCUUGUCCACACAAAAAUUUAACAUAAUCAAUCUCUUCAGCAUCAUAUACUAAUCCAGGAUCAAUGGCCUUUACAGGGUUUAUAUGACCUGAUCCAUAAGCAAACUCUGCAUCAGAGUUAGCAGCAGUGGUCAUGGGAUAAGCUGCAAAGAACAGUAAAGCAGCAAGGUUCAGCCACACAUGAUAGAUUGAUUAAUGCCAUAGUUGUGCCCAAUUGAUGAGCAUUUUGAAAAACUUUGAAUGCUGAACUAGUAAGAAUCUGAACUAGAACUUAGUUGCACAAAGGGUGCAUCCAGUGCAUGAGGCUCCCCGUUUGCAGUAGUCAGGAAAAGUCAUCUACAAUAUACGUAUUUUACCCUGGUUCUUUGGAGAGGUUGUUUCCAGGACUUUAACCCAUAAAAGAUGUAGGAAAUAGUUAAAUCAAAAUACGCAACAUAGAAUAGAAGUGUUGAUUGUUUAACCAUGUUUAAACACCAUAAUUUUAUUGAAUUGGUGCAAGUUAAUAGAUGUUUUCAGUUGAGACUAAACCAUUACCUGUCGUCAUUAGGGCAGAUUUGAGGGCAGCAGGAGACCAUGUUGGGUGAAAUGACUUGACAUAAGCAGCUGCACCAGACGCAUGUGGGCAAGACAUGGAUGUACCAGAAAUUAUGUUGUACGGAACUACUCUUUUAUCCCAUUUUGAUCCUGUUACAGUAGUAGCUUUGGACCAUGCUGCUAAAAUGUCCACUCCAGGUCAGGCUUGAGAAUGUCAUCUGUUAUUGGACUAGGUCCCCUUGAAGAGAAGGAAACCACAUAUGGAGCAUCUUCAUCUUUAUAAUCAAUGCUCUUCAAUAUCGUUGCAGUUGGUUCACUAGUUGAGUUUAAGUACUUCAAAAUAGCAGCUGAAGUCCCUGCGGUUACUGCAGAAACUGGUAAAGGGAAACUGAAAGCCACAUCAUUGUAGAAUCCUUCCUCCAUGAUGGAGCCAACAGCACCAGCAACUGUUGGCUCCUCUCCAUCACUAGGAGAAUCACAAAGAACAAUUUUUCCUCGCACCAUAGUCUUGUUCAAGGUAUCAGGAUAGCAGUAUCUGGAAUAGGAACCAUUGUACCCGGCAGUUGUAUUUGGUGCGUCUCCACCAUAGAUGAUAGGGUAUACAGAGUUUUCAGGCGUAAAAGUAUUUAUGGAAAUUCCCUCAUAAAAUAAUCCAUUACUUAACCACACCACAGUCAAAAACUUUCUGUCUAUGGUGCUAGCAGCCACAGAAAGCGACCAAGGUUAACAAUUAGAGACUGAUCGAGGACCUGGGCCUUCAUUGCCAGCAGAAUUGGAUGUGAGGAUGCCAUUCUUCAUUGAAUGGAAAGCGCCGAUUGCGAUUGAAUCUUCAAAAUAGUCCAUAGGCCACCCUCCAACUGAAAGAGAUAUUACAUCAACUCCAUCCGCAAUAGCAUCAUCAAAUGCCGCAAGAAUGUCGGCAUCUGAACAGCCAAAAUACCAACAUAUUUUGUACACAGCUAUACGGGCUGAAGGAACCCCUCCUCGAGCAGUUCCUGAGCCAAGGCCUAGUAAGCUGGCCUUGCUAACUAUGUCCCCCGCUGCUGUUGAGGCAGUGUGACUCCCAUGGCCUUCUGAAUCCCUAGGUGAAGCAAAUUCUCCAGGGGGUAUUUUUCCUUCAGUGUGAUAGUAUCGAGCUCCAAUUAUUUUGCCGUGAGUGCAAGCAAAAAUGUUGAAAGGCUAUUAGAAACCAAUAUGGGCAUGAUGUGUUCUUUUGUAACUUAUGUUGCAGUGUUAAGAUUUACUUGUUGCAAGUGAAAUUGGAGGAUUCUUGGCAAGUGCCCUUCCAUUUGGCUGGAGGGGGACCAAAACUUUCGUCAUUGAAACUUUCAGAUUCAGGCCAAAUCCCUGUGUCAAGCAUUCCAAUAAUGAUGUCGCUUUCAUUAGUUGAUCUGGUAACAUUCAGGGGGAACCCCAUGAAGGUCCAAGACCUUGUUGUGUGAAGUUUCUUCUUUUGACUAGGGAACACAGAUACCACGCCUUUCAUGCCUGCCAGUUUCUGCUUCUCCUCUUCAGUCAAUUUAGCAACAAAACCAUUGAAACUCCUAUGGUAGCUGUGCAGCAAAAAAUCUGAAGCACGACUGCCAACAACUUCUUGUAGCAUCCUGGCAUGAAGAGAUGCUGCAGAAAAAUCACCCUUUGGACGAUCUCCCAUGUACACAAUAUAGACCUGGUUGAGUUCAGAAACUCCAAAAUAUCAGUUCCAUCACUGCCACUUAACGUGGAAACUGAUAAAGAGCAGGUAAAGGCCACAUCUUCAUCUCCAUUCUGCAUUGCUGCAGCACUUGUUUACUUAUAAACGAAAGACAGUAAACGCCGUGUUGUUUUCCCUCACACAAUGACAACCUAUUCAAACAAGCUAGUGGGCAUUCACCACAGAAAGUGAA